UGGUGCUGCGAAGAAUGAAUUGCAACUGGAUGGACACAAGGGAUGUCCUUAUUGUAAAUCCUACCAAUUCCAAUCAAGUGGAUCCUGAUUACUCAGAAUUUCAGAAGAGAGUUGACAAGUGGAUCCUGAUUACUCAGAUCGUCUGAUCAGUGUGAUUUCAGGCGAUGAUCCAUCCACAAUGGGGACCUUCAUUUGGACGUCUCGAUCAGCAUGCGCAUAUGUGAUGUGUUCCAUGAAUGAGCUGCCAUGGGCUAAUACAUUGCAAAAAGUGCUGGAGCCUAACCCUUUCAUCAAGAUUUUUGCAACAAUUAAUAGGCAUCUUUUUUCUGCAGUUAGUGAGGUUGUGAUAUUGAUGGUGAGGCCUAACAGGCAAAUGGCUUGUUGCUUGAAUUCUUGGAUAUUUCAAGGGUUGUAUAUUUCCACUUGUUUACACAUUACUGACGGUUUCUAUGCAGAACUGGAAUGGCCGAUGUUCCUGGUACCGCCAGUACCAUUUUUGGUGCUGUUAAAGAUGCUGGAGCUAAUGUUAUCAUGAUAUCUCAGGCCAGUAGCAGCGACCACUCUGUAUGCUUUGGAUGCUGGACGUCUUUAUCAGGGGGAUUGGAAUGGAGCCGGAUGCCACACUAGCUACAGCCAAUGCUUGAGUAUGUGAGGCUGGCUGGACAAUAGUUUGCAUUCAGCUGCCAGUUAAAUCGUUAUUCCAUUAUCACUUGGGACUGAAUGCCAAAUCUAAAAGUUUGUGAUUGGGGCUCAACAACGAAGAAAAGUGGCAAUGAACCCGCACCCAAAAAGCCUAUUGGAAUACCAUUGCCAUUACUGACUUUUAAGGUCCGAAAAGAGAAUUUAGGAGACAGAAUCAUUGCACUCUAGCAACUGGUUUCACCUUUAGGAAAGGUAAAUUUGAAAAGCUCCCAUUUACUUCCACAGAUUUCUACUACGGUUUCUUAUUUUCGAAUUCGAAAAAGCUUUGUUUUGUUGAAUUGAAUAUAAUUGUUCUCUUAUUUCAAACAUUCACCACAUCCAUUCUAUUCGAAGCAAUUGAAUACAUCAAGUUCCUCCAUGAACAAGUCAGUGUAAGUUCCAUGAAAACCAAAUGUAGAAGUCAAGAAAAAAUCCAAGAAAGAGAAUAACAUAUGCCUAAUUUCAUCUUUUUCUUCUAUAAUUUCAGGUUUUAACUACACCAUACAUGAAAAAUGAUGCUCACAUUCAUCACCAGUAGGUAUAUUUCUUUAUUGUGCAAAAUGCUAACAGU